CCCCGAACAAACACACCCUUCAUUUACCCUCUAUGGUUGUAAUUCAUUUCUCUGCAAAUUUCAUAUUCCCAGCUCCAAAUACGGUUGAUCCUAAUUGAUCAGCUCCGAGCGAUUCACAAUCCAAGAUUUUGGAUAACAGUUUUACUCUCCUUCUCUGUCGUGCUUCGCAAUUUUGGAGCAUCUCGCAGUCGCUCUUGCUGCUAAUUUAUCUUUUGCACACUUAACUCUGCAACAUUGGGGAAAGUUGCACACCUGAACGAGUCUUUACAACAAUCUUCUCGUCAAACGAUUAGGAGGUAUGUUAAAUCUAGUUGUUUCAAAGGACUAUUCCAUGUUAAACCAAUGCCUAUUCCUGUGGCUCCUAUUAUGCAAUUACUGAGUUUUUGGGAACAGGAUAGCUGAGUAAUUUCAUUUAUCUAAUAAAAAUAAAUGGUAUAUUUUGCGAAUUGCGGUGUUGCUGUUGUGUAUGGGUUGCCAUACGGGGAAAAUAAGGAACCGAUUUCUUUGGAUGAGUCUGAUUCUUAGCACUUUUUCUGAUGGAUUUGCAUUAGAUAUGAAACUUAUAGGUAGGAAUAAGAAAUAUAUUGUUGAGCCUUUGUUAAAGGACUUACUGGACAGUGGAGGGCUAAGAAAUGAUGUUGAUAUUUGGAUGAUAUAUGUCAUGUACUGCAUGUGUAAUCUGUUGACGCCUAUAUCUAAUUCGAAUAUUAAUCAUUGUAUAUUCCAAUUCCUUGAGUCUAAGGAGUUAGCAAGUGAGUUCAACUGGGCUUGAUAUGUGAGAGAUAAGAUUGUUGAGGGUUUGUAUGCGAUAUCGAAGAAAUUCAAGAAGAAAGCAUUGGUUAGUGGAAGGCCGUCUGGAGAUAUGCAUUGUUUAAUGGCAAAUUAAAAUAUUGUAAUCUCUUUGCUUACUUUUGUGUUUUCUUUUUGUGUAAUAUGCUAUUUUUAUAUUUUCAGCAUAUAUUUUUUUGAUAAGUUCCAUAGUUAGAAAUGUGGGAGCGUUUUUUUUUAAUGUCAUAUCACACGAAAACUGACUUUCCAUGACAUUUUAAAGGUCUUCAGCCCCCAAAGUGUUUGAUCCUUGAAGGUUAGAAUUUGUAUUCUAGUUGAAACAUGUAGCUUUGAAUAUGUUGAGUUGAUUAUUUGUUCUGCCUGUUAACCGUUCAUCUAUGAUAUGCUAAGUAAUACUUGUCGACAUGGUGAAGUAAUAUUUUUUGGAAUGCUGAUUUGCUUCAUAGACCGAUACAUAGGAGAAUGAUAUACAUAUGUUAUAAUUUGUAUUCUAGUUUAAACGUGUAGCUUUGAAUAUGUUGAGUUGAUUGUUUGUUUUGUCUGCUUACUGUUCUUAUAUGAUAUGCUAACUAAUAGUUGUCGACAUGCUGAAGUAGUGUUUAUGGAACAAUGGUACAAGAGUGAGAUUUUCCGGGUUUCAGAAAUUCUUUACAAUUUAAAGAAAGACUACAACAAGAAUUUUAAGGGUGAUCAGCAACACGAAGCUGCCAAUGAGGAUGGAAUUGUUGAUGGCAACGAAAGAGCAAAGGAAUAAGAUCUUCACGAAAAGAAUGCUAAGAAUGUGAUUUUAAUUGUAUCAGUUUAUAUAUUGAAUGUUGUUAUGUUAUAUAUCAUUGUUUUUCUUGUAGAUUUGCAAUGGUAUGUAAACUUAUCCUUGAUUAUUGUCAUAGGAUUUUGUUCAGUGCGAUUUGCCCGUGCGAAAGUAAGAUGUCCGGGAAGAACAAAAUGUUGAACAAGAACAUAUUGAAAACGAGACGGCAGUGCAAAUUGAGGAAAUGGUGUGGACCUCCCAAAAGUGUGAUGAAGAAGUUAAUGUUAAUCCAAUGAGUCUUUUUUCACUUGGCUUAAUACAAGAGUUCAAAAAUAUUGUUGGACAUUCGGAGGGAAGUUCGCCAAGCAAGGUUUCUCUGUGGAUUUGCAAGCAUUUUUUAUGAGUUUACGUUGAGUGAAGAGGAAGAAAGAACCGUUAAAUGGACAUUUUAUUUACAUCGCACCUCAGCGGUCGAUUUGGGAGACAUUAUUUUUUCGGAUGGAAUCACUGAUAUAUUCAAGCAUGAUAUCCAGAGUCUACAAUCCUCUUUUGAUGUGCAAGCAAUGUGGUUGAUGCAUUUCGCACCUUCCUAAACAAAUCAGAUUUCAGAAUAAGUGUUUCAAUGUCCAAAUUUUGUAUUCUCCAACAUGGUUGUAAGUAUAUAUUUACAUGUGCUUAACAUUUGUAUUGAAGAUGAUUAUUGAUUAUAUUUGAAAUGUUAACACAUGGAAUAUUGGAUGCUUAUGGUAGAAAUAGAUUGAUGCUAUAUUUUUUUUUUAUGCAUGUAGUAUAUGGUGCUAGUUGAGAUUGAAAAUAAUUAUGCCCAAAAAACCGACAAAGAACUGAUCAAGGAAUGAGAUCGACAAUUGAAUUUGACAUAUUUUGGUAAUGAACCGAUAAUGUGAGUAUUUUUAAUGUAUAUAUGGAAUGUUGAGUUUACUUACUAUGCAUUAUGAAAUGUUGAAUUGGUUUUGUGUAUCUUAUAGCAAUUUUUUUUCUCAUGCAGUAGUUCCUACCACUGUGUGUUUUUCUCUUUUAUCUAUUAUUCGCAAAAAGAUUAACUAUUUCAAUAGCUUAAAUGCGGUUGAUGGAUGGACAUCAGAUUUGGUGGUUUUUGAGCGAUUUUUCGGUUAUUUUCGACUGGCUGCAAAUAUGUUAU